rnacentral:rRNA from 1 species
AACGAACGCUGGCGGCAGGCUUAACACAUGCAAGUCGAGCGCCCCGCAAGGGGAGCGGCAGACGGGUGAGUAACGCGUGGGAAUCUACCCAUCUCUACGGAAUAACGCAUGGAAACGUGUGCUAAUACCGGAUACGUCCUCCGGGAGAAAGAUUUAUCGGAGAUGGAUGAGCCCGCGUUGGCUUAGCUAGUUGGUGGGGUAAAGGCAUACCAAGGCGACGAUCCAUAGCUGGUAUGAGAGGAUGCACAGCCACACUGGGACUGAGACACGGCCCAGACUCCUACGGGGGGCAGCAGUGGGGAAUAUUGGACAAUGGGCGCAAGCCUGAUCCAGCCAUGCCGCGUGAGUGAUGAAGGCCCUAGGGUUGUAAAGCUCUUUCACCGGUGAAGAUAAUGACGGUAACCGGAGAAGAAGCCCCGGCUAACUUCGUGCCAGCCGCCGCGGUAAGAC